AGGGUUCGAUUCUGGCUCAGGAUGAACGCUGGCGGCGUGCUUAACACAUGCAAGUCGAACGGGAUCCAUCGGGCUUUGCUUGGUGGUGAGAGUGGCGAACGGGUGAGUAAUGCGUGACCGACCUGCCCCAUGCACCGGAAUAGCUCCUGGAAACGGGUGGUAAUGCCGGAUGCUCCAUCACACCGCAUGGUGUGUUGGGAAAGCCUUUGCGGCAUGGGAUGGGGUCGCGUCCUAUCAGCUUGAUGGCGGGGUAACGGCCCACCAUGGCUUCGACGGGUAGCCGGCCUGAGAGGGCGACCGGCCACAUUGGGACUGAGAUACGGCCCAGACUCCUACGGGAGGCAGCAGUGGGGAAUAUUGCACAAUGGGCGCAAGCCUGAUGCAGCGACGCCGCGUGAGGGAUGGAGGCCUUCGGGUUGUAAACCUCUUUUGUUAGGGAGCAAGGCACUUUGUGUUGAGUGUACCUUUCGAAUAAGCACCGGCUAACUACGUGCCAGCAGCCGCGGUAAUACGUAGGGUGCAAGCGUUAUCCGGAAUUAUUGGGCGUAAAGGGCUCGUAGGCGGUUCGUCGCGUCCGGUGUGAAAGUCCAUCGCUUAACGGUGGAUCCGCGCCGGGUACGGGCGGGCUUGAGUGCGGUAGGGGAGACUGGAAUUCCCGGUGUAACGGUGGAAUGUGUAGAUAUCGGGAAGAACACCAAUGGCGAAGGCAGGUCUCUGGGCCGUUACUGACGCUGAGGAGCGAAAGCGUGGGGAGCGAACAGGAUUAGAUACCCUGGUAGUCCACGCCGUAAACGGUGGAUGCUGGAUGUGGGGCCCGUUCCACGGGUUCCGUGUCGGAGCUAACGCGUUAAGCAUCCCGCCUGGGGAGUACGGCCGCAAGGCUAAAACUCAAAGAAAUUGACGGGGGCCCGCACAAGCGGCGGAGCAUGCGGAUUAAUUCGAUGCAACGCGAAGAACCUUACCUGGGCUUGACAUGUUCCCGACGAUCCCAGAGAUGGGGUUUCCCUUCGGGGCGGGUUCACAGGUGGUGCAUGGUCGUCGUCAGCUCGUGUCGUGAGAUGUUGGGUUAA
rnacentral:rRNA from 1 species